AUCAUGAACAAGUCAGUGAUUUUUCUUUUAUGCCUGGUGCUACUUGGAAUAACACUGAACGCUGAAGCAGGUUCGUACAGGCACUGCACACUCAUUAGGUGUUAUCGCUUGUAUUGCUAUUACAGGUGUCGAUGGCUAUGUCGUGGUAUUUGUGGAUAUGAAGGAGGAAAGAAAGGAGAUGAAGAAUUAAA